rnacentral:rRNA from 1 species
GACGAACGCUGGCGGCGUGCUUAACACAUGCAAGUCGAACGGAAAGGCCCUGCUUUUGUGGGGUGCUCGAGUGGCGAACGGGUGAGUAACACGUGAGUAACCUGCCCUUGACUUUGGGAUAACUUCAGGAAACUGGGGCUAAUACCGGAUAGGAGCUCCUGCUGCAUGGUGGGGGUUGGAAAGUUUCGGCGGUUGGGGAUGGACUCGCGGCUUAUCAGCUUGUUGGUGGGGUAGUGGCUUACCAAGGCUUUGAAGGGUAGCCGGCCUGAGAGGGUGACCGGCCACAUUGGGACUGAGAUACGGCCCAGACUCCUACGGGAGGCAGCAGUGGGGAAUAGUGCACAAUGGGCGGAAGCCUGAUGCAGCAACGCCGCGUGCGGGAUGACGGCCUUCGGGUUGUAAACCGCUUUCGCCUGUGACGAAGCGUGAGUGACGGUAAUGGGUAAAGAAGCACCGGCUAACUACGUG